rfam:Ailuropoda melanoleuca scaffold1954_49, whole genome shotgun sequence.
UCCUUCAGUGUUGAAACAAUCUCUAUUGAACCAGGCUCCAAACCAAGUUCACUGGAGUUUGUUUCAAUAUUGCAAGAA